ACGAACGCUGGCGGCGUGCUUAACCCAUGCAAGUCGAACGGAAAGGCCCUGCUUUUGUGGGGUGCUCGAGUGGCGAACGGGUGAGUAACACGUGAGUAACCUGCCCUUGACUUUGGGAUAACUUCAGGAAACUGGGGCUAAUACCGGAUAGGAGCUCCUGCUGCAUGGUGGGGGUUGGAAAGUUUCGGCGGUUGGGGAUGGACUCGCGGCUUAUCAGCUUGUUGGUGGGGUAGUGGCUUACCAAGGCUUUGACGGGUAGCCGGCCUGAGAGGGUGACCGGCCACAUUGGGACUGAGAUACGGCCCAGACUCCUACGGGAGGCAGCAGUGGGGAAUAUUGCACAAUGGGCGGAAGCCUGAUGCAGCAACGCCGCGUGCGGGAUGACAGCCUUCGGGUUGUAAACCGCUUUCGCCUGUGACGAAGCGUGAGUGACGGUAAUGGGUAAAGAAGCACCGGCUAACUACGUG
rnacentral:rRNA from 1 species